AGAGUAUGAUCCUGGCUCAGAACGUACGCUGGCGGCACGCCUUAUACAUGCAAGUCGAACGCAGUAGCAAUACUGAGUGGCAAACGGGUGAGUAUAAUGUGGGUAUCUGCCUUUUGGUUUGGAAUAACAUGAGGAAACUUGUGCUAAUACCGGAUAAGCCUUCACAGGGAAAGUUUUAUACGCCGAAAGAUGAGCCCGCACUUUAUUAGUUUGUCGGUGAGGUAAUGGCUCACCAAGACAAUUAUCAAUAGCUGGUCUGAGAGGACGAUCAGCCACAUUGGGACUGAGACACGGCCCAGACUCCUACGGGAGGCAGCAGUAAGGAAUCUUGCACAACGGGGGAAACCCUGAUGCAGCGAUGCCGCGUGAGUGAAGAAGGCCCUUGGGUUGUAAAACUCUUUCGUCGGGGAAGAAAAUGACUGUACCCGAAUAAGAAGGUCCGGCUAACUUCGUGCCAGCAGCCGCGGUAAUACGAAGGGACCUAGCGUAGUUCGGAAUUACUGGGCUUAAAGAGCUCGUAGGUGGUUAAAAUAGUUGAUGGUGAAAUCCCAAGGCUCAACCUUGGAACUGCCAUCAAAACUUUUUAGCUAGAGUGUGAUA
rnacentral:rRNA from 1 species